rnacentral:misc_RNA from 1 species
UCUCCGUGGGUGAACCUGCGGAGGGAUCAUUACAGAGUUCAUGCCCUUACGGGUAGAUCUCCCACCCUAUGUUAUUAUUACUUUGUUGCUUUGGCGGGCCGCGAGGCUUCGGCCUGGCUACCGGCUCCGGCUGGUAAGCGCCCGCCAGAGGACCCCCAAACCCUGAAUGUCAGUGUCGUCUGAGUACUAUAUAAUAGUUAAAACUUUCAACAACGGAUCUCUUGGUUCUG